CCUACGGGAGGCAGCAGUGGGGAAUAUUGGGCAAUGGGCGCAAGCCUGACCCAGCAACGCCGCGUGAAGGAAGAAGGCUUUCGGGUUGGAAACUUCUUUUCUCAGGGACGAAGCAAGUGACGGUACCUGAGGAAUAAGCCACGGCUAACUACGUGCAAGCAGCCGCGGUAAUACGUAGGUGGCAAGCGUUAUCCGGAUUUACUGGGUGUAAAGGGCGUGUAGGCGGGAAAGCAAGUCAGAUGUGAAAACCAUGGGGUCAACCUGUGGCCUGCAUUUGAAACUGUUUUUCUUGAGUACGGGAGAGGCAGACGGAAUGCCUAGUGUAGCGGUGAAAUGCGUAGAUAUUAGGAGGAACACCAGUUGCGAAGGCGGUCUGCUGGACAGCAACUGACGCUGAGGCGCGAAAGCGUGGGGAGCAAACAGGAUUAGAUACCCUGGUAGUC
rnacentral:rRNA from 1 species